rnacentral:rRNA from 1 species
GAACCUGCGGAAGGAUCAUUACCUAGAGUUGUAGGCUUUGCCUGCUAUCUCUUACCCAUGUCUUUUGAGUACCUUCGUUUCCUCGGCGGGUCCGCCCGCCGAUUGGACACAUUUAAACCCUUUGUAGUUGCAAUCAGCGUCUGAAAAACUUUAAUAGUUACAACUUUCAACAACGGAUCUCUUGGUUCUGGCAUCGAUGAAGAACGCAGCGAAAUGCGAUAAGUAGUGUGAAUUGCAGAAUUCAGUGAAUCAUCGAAUCUUUGAACGCACAUUGCGCCCCUUGGUAUUCCAUGGGGCAUGCCUGUUCGAGCGUCAUUUGUACCUUCAAGCUUUGCUUGGUGUUGGGUGUUUGUCUCGCCUCUGCGCGCAGACUCGCCUCAAAACAAUUGGCAGCCGGCGUAUUGAUUUCGGAGCGCAGUACAUCUCGCGCUUUGCACUCAUAACGACGACGUCCAAAAAGUACAUUUUUUACACUCUUGACCUCGGAUCAGGUAGGGAUACCCGCUGAACUUAAGCAUAUCAAU